UACGUAGGCAGCAAGCGUUGUUCGGAGUUACUGGGCGUAAAGGGUGCGUAGGCGGCUUUUUAAGUCUGGUGUGAAAUCUCCCGGCUCAACUGGGAGGGUGCGCCGGAAACUGGAAUGCUUGAGCGUGGGAGAGGAAAGCGGAAUUCCUGGUGUAGCGGUGAAAUGCGUAGAUAUCAGGAGGAACACCUGCGGUGUAGACGGCUUUCUGGACCAUUGCUGACGCUGAGACACGAAAGCGUGGGUAGCAAACAGG
rnacentral:rRNA from 1 species